CAAGAACUCCCGGGCGCUGUUUCCCAGCCUCUAUGAGCUGGGCCACGUGCUGGCCAAUGAUGGGCCUGUGCGGCAGAGGCUGGAAUCAGUAGCAAGUGAGGUGUCCAAAGCUGUGGACAAGGAGCUGCAGGUGAUCCUGGAGUCCAUGGUCAGCCUGACACAGGAGUUAUGCCCUGUGGCCAUGCGGGUGGCCGAGGGACACAACAAGAUGCUGAGCAAUGUGGCGGAGCGUGUCACUGUGCCCCGGAACUUCAUCCGAGGGGCACUGCUGGAGCAAGCAGGACAGGACAUUCAGAACAAGCUGGAGUGAGAGGCAAAGGGCAGGGCUGGGGCUGAGCUGGAUUUGGCCCAGAUCACUUAGGGACUUAGGACUGGAGAGCUAUCAGCAAUGAAUAAUGAAUGGCACAAUCUCCAUUACAAGGAUCAAUCUUUAACCAAGUGCAACCUUGCUAUUUAGGGUCUGGCUGGUCUUUGCCCUAGAAAUCUAAGUGCUGAGCUGGGGUUUAGGAGCCAAGUUUGUGCCCACACAGGUGUACACACACAUACCCACACAAAUACACCAGG
rnacentral:lncRNA from 1 species